GAUGAACGCUAGCGGCAGGCCUAAUACAUGCAAGUCGAACGAUACCUUCCAGCUUGCUGGAGGGGAAAGUGGCGCACGGGUGCGUAACGCGUAUGCAACCUACCUUAAUCAGGGGGAUAGCCCGAAGAAAUUCGGAUUAACACCGCAUAAAAACACAGGAUAGCAUUAUCCAAUGUUCAAAUAUUUAUAGGAUUAAGAUGGGCAUGCGUGUCAUUAGCUAGUUGGCGGGGUAACGGCCCACCAAGGCGACGAUGACUAGGGGAUCUGAGAGGAUGACCCCCCACACUGGUACUGAGACACGGACCAGACUCCUACGGGAGGCAGCAGUAAGGAAUAUUGGUCAAUGGAGGCAACUCUGAACCAGCCAUGCCGCGUGCAGGAAGACAGCCCUCUGGGUCGUAAACUGCUUUUAUUCGGGAAUAAACCUACUUACGUGUAAGUAGCUGAAUGUACCGAAGGAAUAAGGAUCGGCUAACUCCGUGCCAGCAGCCGCGGUAAUACGGAGGAUCCAAGCGUUAUCCGGAUUUAUUGGGUUUAAAGGGUGCGUAGGCGGCCUGUUAAGUCAGGGGUGAAAGACGGUAGCUCAACUAUCGCAGUGCCCUUGAUACUGAUGGGCUUGAAUGAACUAGAGGUAGGCGGAAUGUGACAAGUAGCGGUGAAAUGCAUAGAUAUGUCACAGAACACCGAUUGCGAAGGCAGCUUACUAUGGUUUUAUUGACGCUGAGGCACGAAAGCGUGGGGAUCAAACAGGAUUAGAUACCCUGGUAGUCCACGCCCUAAACGAUGAAUACUCGCUGUUAGCGAUAUACAGUUAGCGGCUAAGCGAAAGCGUUAAGUAUUCCACCUGGGGAGUACGCCCGCAAGGGUGAAACUCAAAGGAAUUGACGGGGGCCCGCACAAGCGGAGGAGCAUGUGGUUUAAUUCGAUGAUACGCGAGGAACCUUACCCGGGCUUGAAAGUUAGUGAAUUAUCCAGAGAUGGAUAAGUGAGCAAUCACACGAAACUAGGUGCUGCAUGGCUGUCGUCAGCUCGUGCCGUGAGGUGUUGGGUUAAGUCCCGCAACGAGCGCAACCCCUAUGUUUAGUUGCCAGCACGUUAAGGUGGGGACUCUAAACAGACUGCCUGUGCAAACAGAGAGGAAGGAGGGGACGACGUCAAGUCAUCAUGGCCCUUACGUCCGGGGCUACACACGUGCUACAAUGGAUGGUACAGAGGGCAGCAAGCUGGCAACAGCAAGCAAAUCUCAAAAAGCCAUUCACAGUUCGGAUAGAGGUCUGCAACUCGACCUCUUGAAGUUGGAUUCGCUAGUAAUCGCGUAUCAGCAAUGACGCGGUGAAUACGUUCCCGGGCCU
rnacentral:rRNA from 1 species